rnacentral:sRNA from 1 species
GCUGGGCAUGGUGGCGCAUGCCUAUAAUCUCAGCAUCUUGGGAGAAUGAGGCAGGAGGAUCGUGAGUUCAAAGGUACCUCAGAAACUUAGCAAGGCCCUAAGCAACUCAAUGAGACCCUGUCUCUA